UAUCGAAUCUAACAUGGAAGAGGUAGAGAGACUGUGCUGGCCGAUCGCCGAUCGGCAUGUGCACGUCCCCUCGCCUUUUUCUGUCUACAUACACCUGUGCACCUAUUGUAGAUCCCCUCGAAAGAGAGGGAACUAUGUUUUCAUCACAUCACACACAAAGAAUGUCUAGAAUGUAAACAUGAUCAUAUAUACAACUUUCAGCAACGGAUCUCUUGGCUCUCGCAUCGAUGAAGAACGCAGCGAAUUGCGAUAAGUAAUGUGAAUUGCAGAUUUCCAGUGAAUCAUCGAAUCUUUGAACGCACCUUGCGCUCCUUGGUAUUCCGAGGAGCAUGCCUGUUUGAGUGUCAUCGAAUUCUCAACCAUGAACUUUGAGAUCAUGGCUUGGAGUUGGAAGUUGCUGGCCGGAAGGUCAGCUCUUCUUAAACGGAUUAGCGAUCGAGUUGGCUAGUCUUUGACGUACACGGCCUCGGACGUGAUAAUGAUCGUCCUGGCUGGAGCGUCUUUUUUGUAGACUAUGCACACAGAUGGCUUCUAAUAAGAAUGGUCGAGCGAGCUUAGCUAUUAGGCAGUCUGCUGUUUGUUAAGGCAAGGCAAGGCUGGCGAACGCAAGCGCAAGCUUGAAUUAUGGACCAUGAUCAGCGACUUG
rnacentral:misc_RNA from 1 species